rnacentral:rRNA from 1 species
CACACCGCCCGUCACACCACGGGAGUUGGUUUCACCCGAAGGCAGUGCGCUAACCGCAAGGAGGCAGCUGACCACGGUGGGAUCAGCGACUGGGGUG